CUCGUCGUCUCAGAGCCCCGCCCUCUAUCUCACCAUCGGAGACUUGGUGACAAAUCUGAUCAUCAGGGUGGUGCUGGUCCACUUCCUCCUGAUCAUGGGGACCAUCUCCCUCUACUUCUACUGUCGGGCCAAUAGGGGGCGCUGCAGACUGAAGGCACGCAACACACCAUGAGAUACAGCAGCACAGCAACCACCACAGCAACAGCAACCGCCACAGCAACCACCACAGCAACCACCACAGCAACAGCAGCCAC